rnacentral:rRNA from 1 species
CAAAAACAUCUCUCUUUGAUAAAUUAAAGAAUAAAGAGUAGUCCCUGCCCGGUGAUAUAAUUUAACGGCAGCGUUAAGCUUUAAAGUAGCGUGAUAAGUCGUCCCUUAAUUGGGGUCUGGUAUGAAAGGGUUGACGGGGGGUGGCUGUCUCAAGGUUUUAUUAUGAAAUUUCCUUCCCAGUUAAAAGUCUGGGAUUUGCUUAAAAGACGAGAAGACCCCAUCGAGCUUGGAUAGUUUUACUUUUUAAAAGUAUGUUAAUAUUUUAUUGGGGCAAUAUUGGAGAAAAAAAACCUCUAAUAAAUUAAAUCAUGGAUCCUCAAUGUUGAGAUAAAAGGAAAAAGCUACCGUGGGGAUAACAGCGUAAUAUAACCUGAGAGUUCUUAUCAAAGGUUAAGAUUGCGACCUCGAUGUUGGACUAGGGGAUCGUCCUGGAGCAGGAGCUAGGGUGGAGGGACUGUUCGUCCUUUAAACCCCUACAUGAUCUGAGUU